rnacentral:tRNA from 1 species
GCCUGGGCGGCUCAGUCGGUUAAGCACCAGACUUCAACUCAGGUCAUGGUCUCACGGUUCGUGGGUUCGAGCCCUACAUCAGGCU